AUGAAGAGCUGCUUGUUACACAGCAGAGGACAUGAUGGAGGAUCAACCUCACUGAUGUCUGUCUGUCUGUACUCUGAUAUUCUGCUUUUAGAUGUUGGGAUGCAGAUGGUGGUUACACAAGGGCUAAAGUUUGUAAUGCUGCCCUUCAAAAUACCACGUGACCUUCCUCAGGGCACCACAGUGGAGUGGAGACACAACAGUAUGAAAGUCUACAAGUGCAUAGCUAUAAAUUUUGGCACACAGCACCAGCCUCGCAGAGAUCGUGCAGAGAUGGAUGGAUAUCCACUAACAACUGGAGACUUCAGUCUGACCCUUAGAGACCCCCACCUCACUGACAGUGGAGUCUACACCUGCACCGUCAACAACACAUACAGAGACAUCCUGCUACAGAAAGUGGUGACUCUCAGUGUCAGAGAUAAUGAAGUGGGCGUGUUGGAGGUGACACAAGGGGAGAGGUCUGUGCUGCUGCCCUUUCAAACCACAGCUGACCUUCGUCAGGGCGUCACAGUGGAGUGGACACGCUCAGACUCCAAACACACCAAAGUCUGCGUGUUUCAGAAAAGCCAAAGCCAGCCAGACAAACAGCACCAGGGUUAUAGAGGUCGUGCAGAGAUGGAUGAAGAUCCACUGAGAACUGGAGACCUCAGUCUGACCCUGAAAGACCUCCACCUCACUGACAGUGGGGUCUACACCUGCACCGUCUACAACAAGGAUGGACACAUGCUGCUACAGAGAGUAGUGACUCUCAGUGUCAGAGCAACCUUAAAGGGAGCCAUGGCAGACAUGCUGGCACGUCUCAGGAGGAGGAGGGCACCAAAAUCUGAGAUUAAAGUGGAAAAGAGGAACAUGAACCAAGAACAGGAACGUCUGACUGCUGAAGAAACAGUCUAAGGAGGAGGAGGAGCUGGUGAUGAAGAGCAGCCUGUGUGUAUAUACAGUAUCUCUUGUGUAUUCAGCCCUGAGGAAGAUGAAGGUGCAGCUUUGCUUUGGCCUUCCUCUGCUAACAGCUAACAGCUAACUAACCUCAGCCAGAUGUUCUGCAGCUGUUUGUCUAACAUUAGAAGUUUAUAAUGAUGAUGACCCCGAGCGUGUUUCUGCUGUUCUGAUGGAGUGAAAAUGCUUCAUUUGAGUCAAAGGUCAAAGCUGCUGACUGUCAGGAAGCAUCAGAGCUUCAGAGAAGAUCAGACAAACAUCAUGACACACCCCCUCUGACCCACGGGUCCUUCCUGCUCCAAUCUGAGCAGGAAGGACCCGUUAGAUAAACGUGGACUCUGAGUGCAGAGCUGGUUUGGAGCUGUGGAGACUUACUAAGGAGUAAAGUGGACAUGAAUGAGUCACAGAGGGAGGAGGAGGUGAACAGUGAUGUUUGUUAGACAUGAUCAGACUGAAGAGUGAACAUAAGAAGAGUUUAAUGCUGGAUUUAAAGAGAACAGGAAGAUAAGCUCCGCCCAGCAGCUGAGUCCUCUCUGCUCACACUGGUGUUGGACUGCAGACCUCAGGGAGUCUGCUUCCACAUCUGGUUUCCACAGCUGGAGGAAGGAGGACUGUCCCACGAGCACGCCUACGCCCUCUGUCAUUACUGAAGUAGUGAUGGUGUUUGAUCAGUGUGUGACUGUUUCACUGGUUCAAGCAGAGAUUUACAUAAAUGAGCUUUUAUGAGUUAUUAUAUUAUCUGAUCAGGCCGUUUGCUCCUGUUAAAGAUAAAUGUGCAUCGAACUUUGUGGAUAUUCAUAAGUCUAACAGUUUAAACCUGUGUGUGACUUUGUGUCCUUGAACGGCCCUGACAGAUGGCUGUAGGCCAUAAUAUUCAUUUUUCCUGCUGACUAAAAUAAGCAGCUGAGCUCUCUGAGGGCAGAGCUGCUGCUAACAGGUGAGUCUGUUACCUGGACUGGACUGAGUGAGCUGCUGUGUCACAGCUUUAUCAGUGACACACUCAGCAUGUGUGUGUGUGAUAUGUCAUAGUGCUUGAAACAUACAUGAAAAUAUAUUAAAGGUUGAUUCUUUUUUCUUUUGGUUUGUGGAACAAAAAUCAGCAAUGAAGAAACGCUGGUGUAAAACUUAGUGUAGAAGCACAACAAACGUAAGCCGGCUCAUUUGAUGGUGUGACGCUUGAAAAGGAUUUGCGCGCCUACAUCAUUAUUUACGGUUUAAAUUGUGCUGCCUUUAGGUGCACCUGGUAAAUUCAGGAGUCUCUACUCCAAACCACAGCAGGUUGUUUUAAAGGCUUUUCUGGGUUAAUGUUUGUUUGUUGGCAUAAACAUGUCUGUGAUCGCCGUGUUCUUUUUGAUGCAGUAUUUCAUGUAACUCGGUGCUAAAAUCAUAACAAUUAAGUUUAACAGUUCUAGUGCUCAUGCGUCAGCUAGCAUGCAGCAUGUUUCAGUUGCUCCUGUUUUUACUCUUUACUCUAACUUUUUCUUACUUAUUUCUUUGUCCUUUACUGAGUGUGUUCGUCUGUUUAAAAGCUUUCUUUUCAAACAUGUGGCUCGACAGAGUUUUUGUUCUGCUGUUACUUUCACUGAGGAAUGGGACCGCAGCACAGCAGCUACACACCAGAGAUCAGCUGAGCCGCCUGAUGCUCAGAUUAACUGGAGACGGUCAAACAGAUGUGUGACAGACUUUAAGGAGCUGCUACCAACAAACCAGCAAAUAAACACUGAAUAUGAUGAUUAUUGCUACACUGCAACAUUUGUGAGGUUACCUUAAACACAGUCCAUCAGUCUUUUUGCUUUUGAACAAUAAAAUAUUAAAAACUGUCUCGAGUUUAUUUGGUGAUGUUCUCAUGCACGAGGUGAAAAAAAACAGCAAACAAAUGUCACAGUAAAUCUUUCCAGCUGAUGUUGGGCAUCCUCCACCUGCUGAAUCCACUUCAGCCUCUUCCUGCUCAUGUUCCUGUUUAGAGGCACAGUCAGUCUGUACAAUGGAGAAAACUGAACACAGGAAUAUUUGGAUUUUCCUCUUUUUCUCUGCUCAUGUUCAACUUGUCUGAUUCAAGCUGGGAAUAUUUAUUAGAAUUCAAAUUUAGACUGAAAUAAAAUCAAUAACAUUAUUUUAUUAUUACAUUGAUGUAGCACAUGGUUCAGUUAGCUUUGUAUAAACAUAUGUGUUAGAAAUGUUCUUCAAUCAGCUCUUUUUACUCUCUUACAUUUCACAGCCAGUACUUUUUUACUUUUACUUGAGUAAAGAAGUUGAAUUAGUACUUGGAGUAUUUUAACAGUAGUACUUCUACUUCAGUACAGACUGUGUGUACUUUUAACACCUGUGUCUGAGACCUCCUUCAGGGUCCACCUGAAGCUGUGUGAACUUUACCCACACACCACUCCUCACUCCUCCCACCCGCUGCACACAGUCACUGAGUACAGACCGGCUGAUUCCUGUAAAGGGAGAGGCAGGAAGAGGCGGAGCAACACCUGAAAAACAACUAGUUCAACAUCAUUUUGCAGAAGUGAAAGUGUGAGAGAGCAGCAGCAGAGCUGCAGUCGAGUCCUGUUUGUCUCUAAAAGAUUCACUGGAGUCCAUCAGGUUUCUCUCAGCAACAGUGGUGAGUGCAGCUGAUCACACUUCCUGUUUCUACACAAAUCUUCACUCUGUUCACUUCAUGCUGACUCAUCACAGUCACACUGGAUCCAUAGAAAUCUGCUCAUGUAACCACAGAUCCACUGUAGGAACAUCGAGCUGCUGCUUCAGUCUCACUGUGGCUCUGCUCAGGACUGUGGACUCAGGCUGUGCUCUGGACUUCAGACUGACUCCACACUUCCUGGUUAUUCAUCACUUCCUGUUCCUAUUAGACUGAUUCUGGAUCUGAUUGAUCAUAAGGAUUACACACGUGAAAACACCUGUUUAUUCUUUAUUGAUAUAAAGCCUUUGAUACUGUAAACCAGCAGAUUUUGGUCAGUACUUCAAAAAGUCAUUCAGACAUUUUACAAAGAGAGAUUAUCUGACUUAGUGUAUCCUGUAAGAGUCACAGAUGUUCCUGAAUCAUUCAGAAAACAGUCGAUGCUGCACUUUAUAACUUUGUGUGGAAACAUAAAUCUCAUUAUUUAAACAGAUGUGUUUAAAUCAUUCUGAUAAUCGAGGCUUUAAAUAUGUCAGAGUUCACACAUCAGCUGUGAUAUUCAAGCUGAACUGGAUCAAACAUGUCAUCAGACACAAACAUAGAUGAUGGUGUUUAAUCCCAAAGCUUAUUUAAACAAACUGGAGGACAGAAUUCCUCCUUAAAUGUGAUUUUGAUCAACAAAAUUCACUGAUCUCAUUUUCACACACUUUAUCAUGGUGGCUUCUUCUCUACUAACAUAAAUCUUUGAUCUGGACAAACAAAUAUAUGAAAUAUCAAAAUAAAUCAAUGUUUUCUGAGGAUCCAGAAUAAUCUGAAUGAUGUAUCCCAGCGAGUGACUGGAAAAGUUCAUCUUCUUCCAUAUCCUGAGUUUGUGAGGAGCUGUGAUGUUCCAGUAUCUGUGAGAGAAAACAGUUUUUAAUGACGCACAAAUGGACCAAAUAUACAGACACCACUGAAUAAACAUGUUCUCAUAAAUGCCAUUAAUAUACUGGAUCAACAAUUAAUAACACAUUUCUGAGGUUUAUGAUUCAUUGUCCUCCUCACUGUCACUUCUAUUGGAACAGUCACUGUUUAAUAUUAAUGGCUCGUUGAUCUGGACUUACAAUAAGAAGGAUUUAGUCACCAACAAGGUCGAAGUUUACUUCACAGUAAUUGAUGGAAUAUAUCCAACAAACUGAUUUAUUCAAGUAUACAAAUGAUCUGGAUGAAUCUUGGACCUUCUGUAAAACAGAGAAACAAUUUCACAUCUUUUUAACGACUGUAUUUAUCUUCAUCCCCAAAGUUAUUCUGUUCAUCUGGACGCUGCACUGUACAGCAGACACUACG
rnacentral:lncRNA from 1 species